CUGUUUGGGGAAGGUUGUUUUAAUAUAGAUUCCUGGCCCUCACCCCAGACCUCCUGGAUCAGAAUCUCUGGUUCCCAAGUUUUUCUUAGGCAGCAGUUCUCAGCCUGGGCUGCACAUUAGAAUUACCCAGGGAACUUUUAAAUAGCCCAGGCUGCACCCCAGACCAGUUAAAUUAGAAUCUCUAGAUGGAAGCAGUGGGGAGGGGAGAAUCCAGGCAUCAAUGUGUUUUGAAGCUUGCCAGGUGCUUCCACUGUGCAGCUGAGGUGAAGAAUCCCCGAGUUGAGUUGCAUGGGAGGAGGCGGGCAUCAGGAUCUUUUAAAAGCUUCACGUGGGAUUCUGAUGUGUGGAAAUUACAGAGCGUGCCCUCCGAGACCUGCUGCCUGUAUGAAGGGCGUGUGAGCACUCUCGCUGAGCUCUCGGGGCUGUUUGCCGCAGGAGUGAUUCAUUGGGGUCAAUCCACCUUGGGGCUGGGGAAAAAGCACUGGAGGAAGGUUCAGUCGGUGUGAGUUACGGCCUCAGUUCCGUGAGACGGCGCCGGUACUGGAAGGAACAGCAGGCUUGGACCCGAGAGAUCUUGUCUACAAAUACGUCUUUUUACAACACAUCAUUUAACUUUUCUUGCCUCCAGUUUAUUAAGAUGAACAGACUAAGUCCCAGCAAGUCUAAAUCACCUAUUCAAGAGCUUCCAGCAGGUCGCUGGCAGAGCAGGAGCCAUCCCAUCUCAUAAUGUGAUUCUUAGGUCUAUGAACUUGAGAAGCAAUGAGUCAUGGGCCUGCUACCCAAAUCGAAGGUGGGUUUUCCUAGUGAAAUGUGCAAUAGUGACAUUAAGCAAUGCUGAUUCAAGAAGUCAGUCUCAUGCUUGGUUAAACUAAAAU
rnacentral:lncRNA from 1 species